rnacentral:rRNA from 1 species
CCUACGGGUGGCAGCAGUCGGGAAUAUUGGGCAAUGGGGGAAACUCUGACGCAGUGACGCCGCGUAUGGGAAGAAGGUCUUCGGAUUGUAAACUAUUGUCGUUCGGGAAGAAAAAAGACAGUACGUAAGGAGGAAGCUCCGGCUAACUACGUGCCAGCAGCGGCGGUAAAACGUCGGGAGCAAGCGUUAUCCGGAAUUAUUGGGUGUAAAGGGUGUGUAGACGGGAGGUUAAGUUAGUUGUGAAAUCCCUCGGCUCAACUCAGGAACUGCAACUAGAACUGGACAUCUUGAGUUUAGGAGAGGAAAGUGGAAUUCCUAGUGUAGCGGUGAAAUGCGUAGAUAUUAGGAAGAACACCAGUGGCGAAGGCGACUUUCUGGACUGUAACUGACGUUGAGGCACGAAAGUGUGGGGAGCAAACAGGAUUAGAUACCCUAGUAGUC